AGAGGUGGAUAUGAUAAAUUAGAUCAGAAUCCAAAGAGUACUCCAGAGAUCAAGAGGCGGAGGGCAAUACAGAAAUUAGAAUAGAAGAUAAGAGGAAGAGAGUCUGUCUUUUAAAAAAUGAGGAGAGGAAGAUAUAAGCGAGAAGAGAGUUGAUAUAUAAAAAAAGAGGGAGGGCUGAGAAGGAGCCAGUGCAAGCGCAACAUGAAAUGGCAGGAAAGGGUGCUGACCUCAAGUUUGUUUAAGGUGACAUGCUCUGCAGUGGGAUGAAAGAAAUACUUUGCAUUUUUUGAAACGGCCAGGAACAAAGGAACGCUCUGCAUCUCGAGAAUCAAUAUCACAUUUUAUGCCUGCUGCACCCUUCACAAAGAAUCAAGGCGACAUUGAUUCAACUCUAGGAUGAUGGAGACAAGGAUCCUGCUACAACCUUGCUGAAGAAAUAAUAAUAGGACAUUGACCCUCCUGGUGAUGGGUCAACCACUACCCUUCUGGUGAUGGAACAGGCUCUUCCACUACACCUGGAGGAGCGAAGGAAGGAAUGCGGAAUCUUAAAGGCAUUUCAGAAACAAACACUGAGCCGGUACUGAUGGGGGCAGAUAGACGCAACGCCAAAUUGCCAUCAAUACGACUUGAACCGUGACUUGAAAAGAUCAUCAACUUAAGAGGGUCUUUUUUAAAAAAAAAAAAAAAGACAUCUUUCUUUAUGCCACGAAGCUUAUCUUUUUUUCAUUCGUUCGUUCUCUUUUUUCUUUUUCUUUUACUCUGGUCAAAUGUUGUUGAUUUAAAAGAAAAAAAACAUGCAAGCAAGAUGAUUUCAAUCUCGGAGCCAUUAAAAAGUAAUUCCAGAACUGAAAUAUUGUUGACACCUGUUUAGAGAGAUGUCUUGUUUCAUCAUAUAAUCGAGCACGGUGGUGAUUAUGGGGGAAAUUCUCAGAUUCCUAGAUGCCCAGUGGCAUAUAGAUGCGGGCCUCUGACCACUGAUUUAAAGAAUCUUGGGUAAUCAUCUGCCUUUAAACUGAUUCAUUCAUCAUGAAAUGUACAUGAAUGUUUAUCUCA